AACGAACGCUGGCGGCAGGCUUAACACAUGCAAGUCGAACGGGUGUAGCAAUACAUCAGUGGCAGACGGGUGAGUAACACGUGGGAACCUUCCUAGAGGUACGGAACAACUCAGGGAAACUUGAGCUAAUACCGUAUACGCUCGUGAGAGGAAAGAUUUAUCGCCUUUAGACGGGCCCGCGUCGGAUUAGGUAGUUGGUGGGGUAACGGCCUACCAAGCCUACGAUCCGUAGCUGAUCUGAGAGGAUGAUCAGCCACACUGGGACUGAGACACGGCCCAGACUCCUACGGGAGGCAG
rnacentral:rRNA from 1 species